CCUACGGGAGGCAGCAGUAGGGAAUCUUCGGCAAUGGGCGAAAGCCUGACCGAGCAACGCCGCGUGAAUGAAGAAGGCCUUCGGGUUGUAAAAUUCUGUUAUAAGGGAAGAAAGGUGAUAGGAGGAAAUGACUAUCAAUUGACGGUACCUUAUGAGAAAGCCACGGCUAACUACGUGCCAGCAGCCGCGGUAAUACGUAGGUGGCAAGCGUUGUCCGGAAUUACUGGGUGUAAAGGGAGCGCAGGCGGGAAGCCAAGUCAGCUGUGAAAACUACGGGCUUAACUUGUAGACUGCAGUUGAAACUGGUUUUCUUGAGUGAAGUAGAGGUUGGCGGAAUUCCGAGUGUAGCGGUGAAAUGCGUAGAUAUUCGGAGGAACACCGGUGGCGAAGGCGGCCAACUGGGCUUUAACUGACGCUGAGGCUCGAAAGUGUGGGGAGCAAACAGGAUUAGAUACCCUUGUAGUC
rnacentral:rRNA from 1 species